AGACAACAAACCUGUACUAGAAGGGUGUUCUGCCAAUGAAGGACAUAAUCAUCUGCUCUUCCACCCCUCCCUUGUUAACUUCCCUGUAUGUUAUUUAUUUUAUUUUGUUGUAACUUUUAGCAUCCUUAAAGCAAAUCACUGAGUACUCUGAAGUGUUAGAAAACGGAGUGCACAUACACAUGCAUGCAUGCACUGAUUCACAGGGUACGUGGGCUGCUCUUGCUUGCAUUCCUGGUGACUUGGUAACUGCAUCACUGGCACUGAAGGCAACUGGAAGCAGAAAAUCAAGGAAGGGUUAAUUAAAAAAAAAAAAAGAAGAAGAAAAGAGAGAGAGAGGAGCAAACUUUGCCUUGUUUGCACUGAUCUUACAUCAGUUUCCAUGGAAAUGGAAGUAGAACAAGCCAAGAGAAGCGGUGCAGCCAACUUCAGCUGUUGGCUUCUAGUUCUUGCUUCUGUUUCCAUGGAAAUAGAUGCCAAAUCAGCGAAAAAUAAGCUUACAGAUGGCUGAAGAAGAGUAUCUACAAAACGGAGACAACUACUUGCCUGCGCAAGAAGUAGAAGCCAGGGAACUACAGGCUGAUCAGCUUCACCUUCCUACCUACCUGGGAAGGUAUGGAGCCGCUAAUCCUGGAAGCCAUCUCUUGUCUAACUAUCAGUUUGCCCAAACUCAAAGGAUGGGAGAGAGGUUAAGUGUUAGGAGGAUAUUUUUAAAAAUGCCCUUAUUGUGGACAUGGGAAAUAGUGGAAGGGAAACUUCACUAGGACAGAUCACAGGUAAAGAUUUGAUAUCAGAAGGUUUUCUGCUCCACGUACUGUCACAAAUCUGACCAGAGGAUGCCCAUAUGUUAUGUCAACAUCAUUUUAAGGAAUCAGCUUCCAGCACUGGGACACCUCUGAUCUUGUUCAGACCAGAUCAUAACAAAGCUG
rnacentral:lncRNA from 1 species